GGGGUUGUAGCUCAGUGGUAGAGUGCUUGUCUCACACGUAUGAGACCCUGGGUUUGAUCCCCAGCACCA
rfam:Ictidomys tridecemlineatus contig078023, whole genome shotgun sequence.